rnacentral:tRNA from 1 species
UCAAAUUGCAAUUUUGAAGAAGUUCCCUUUAUUGGUUCCAGGGCUUCUCCCGUUU